rnacentral:lncRNA from 1 species
UCCUGAGUAGCUGGGACUACAGCCUACAGGCACAGGCCACAAUACCUGGCUUAUUUUUAAAUUUUCUGUAGAGAAGUUUCACCAUGUUGCCCAAGCUGGUCUCAAACUCCUGGGCUUAAGCAAACCUCCCACCUCAGCCUCCCAAAGUGAUGGGAUUACAGGCAGGAGACAUGGCAGCCAGCUAAGGCACCUUGUAUGCUGUUAGUCGGCUUUACACCACCUGAAAUUGACCGCCACACAGGGCCUGGUGCUAAGGCCUGGCCGGCCCGGGUCUUCCUGCAGAACCCUUGGGGAGGCGCUGUGCUCCCGAGCCCGGGGGUGGGUGGGUUUAUCUGACCCGCCCUCAGGACCGCCAUGCGGGUGGGGUGGUGCAGGGUGCCCCCAGGGGAGGCACCCCCACACGGUGCCCGGCAGUCCUGCCUGCCUGGAGAGCUUUCUCUGCAGAGGAGACUCCAUGAUCCCAGCCUCCAUCCUGGAAUCUGAGAGAAGGAACAGAAAACGGAAGGAUGAUCCAGCCUCUACACUCACAAACGAACUUAUUGUUUGAAGACAUAACCUUUUUAUUCCCAAGUCUUCCCCCAACACCCAGCUUUACUGACG